rnacentral:rRNA from 1 species
GAUCCUGGCUCAGGAUGAACGCUAGCUACAGGCUUAACACAUGCAAGUCGAGGGGCAGCGGGGUUGAAGCUUGCUUCAAUUACCGGCGACCGGCGCACGGGUGAGUAACGCGUAUCCAACCUUCCGUACACUCAGGGAUAGCCUUUCGAAAGAAAGAUUAAUACCUGAUGGUAUGAUGAGAUUGCAUGAUAGCAUCAUUAAAGAUUCAUCGGUGUACGAUGGGGAUGCG